GAUGAAGAACGCAGCGAAAUGCGAUAAUUAAUGUGAAUUGCAGAAUUCCGUGAAUCAUCGAGUCUUUGAACGCACAUUGCGCCUCAUGGCAUUCCGUGAGGCAUGCCCAUCUCAGCGUUAGAAAAUAUUCUCAAAUUUUAGUUUUGUGCUAAAAUUUGGAUCAUGUCAAGGAAGCUAUUACUAUUAUUGUGAUCGCUCUUUGGAAAUUGAUAGGUCUUUGAGUUGCUACUCAUAGAACGUGAUGAAUCUUUCUUCGUUCUAUUGUAAUUCACUCUGGUAGUCCUAAAACUUGUAUGCCUGUGGCAUAUCUUGUAAUUUGACCUGAGAUUGGGUAGGGAUACCCGCUGAACUUAAGCAUAUCAAAAGCGGAGGA
rnacentral:misc_RNA from 1 species